rnacentral:rRNA from 1 species
UACGAAGGGGGCUAGCGUUGCUCGGAAUCACUGGGCGUAAAGCGCACGUAGGCGGACUCUUAAGUCGGGGGUGAAAUCCUGGAGCUCAACUCCAGAACUGCCUUCGAUACUGGGAGUCUUCGAGUUCGGGAGAGGUGAGUGGAACUGCGAGUGUAGAGGUGAAAUUCGUAGAUAUUCGCAAGAACACCAGUGGCGAAGGCGGCUCACUGGCCCGAUACUGACGCUGAGGUGCGAAAGCGUGGGGAGCGAACAGG